CCUACGGGUGGCAGCAGUGGGGAAUAUUGCACAAUGGGGGAAACCCUGAUGCAGCGACGCCGCGUGAGUGAAGAAGUAUUUCGGUAUGUAAAGCUCUAUCAGCAGGGAAGAAAAUGACGGUACCUGACUAAGAAGCACCGACUAACUACGUGCCAGCAGCCGCGGUAAUACGUAGGGGGCAAGCGUUAACCGGAUUUACUGGGCGUAAAGGGAGCGUAGACGGGAUAGCAAGUCCGGUGUGAAAUCCCAUGGCUUAACCAUAGUACUGCACUUGAAACUGUUGAGCUUGAGUGCGGGAGGGGCAGGCGGAAUUCCUGGGGGAGGGGUAAAAUCCGUAGAGAUUAGGAGGAACACCAGCGGCGAAGGCGGCCUGCUGGACCGUAACUGACGUUGAGGCUCGAAAGCGUGGGGAGCAAACAGGAUUAGAUACCCUAGUAGUC
rnacentral:rRNA from 1 species